GAGUUUGAUCCUGGCUCAUGACGAACGCUGGCGGCGUGCUUAACACAUGCAAGUCGAACGGUAAGGCCCCAGCUUGCUGGGGUACACGAGUGGCGAACGGGUGAGUAACACGUGGGUGACCUGCCCCGCACUUCGGGAUAAGCCUGGGAAACUGGGUCUAAUACCGGAUAGGACCGCACCGUGAGGGUGUGGUGGAAAGUUUUUCGGUGUGGGAUGGGCCCGCGGCCUAUCAGCUUGUUGGUGGGGUAAUGGCCUACCAAGGCGGCGACGGGUAGCCGGCCUGAGAGGGUGGACGGCCACAUUGGGACUGAGACACGGCCCAGACUCCUACGGGAGGCAGCAGUGGGGAAUAUUGCACAAUGGGCGGAAGCCUGAUGCAGCGACGCCGCGUGGGGGAUGACGGCCUUCGGGUUGUAAACUCCUUUCACCAUCGACGAAGGUUUUCUGACGGUAGAUGGAGAAGAAGCACCGGCUAACUACGUGCCAGCAGCCGCGGUAAUACGUAGGGUGCGAGCGUUGUCCGGAAUUACUGGGCGUAAAGAGCUCGUANGUGGUUUGUCGCGUCGUCUGUGAAAUUCCGGGGCUUAACUCCGGGCGUGCAGGCGAUACGGGCAUAACUUGAGUACUGUAGGGGAGACUGGAAUUCCUGGUGUAGCGGUGAAAUGCGCAGAUAUCAGGAGGACCACCGGUGGCGAAGGCGGGUCUCUGGGCAGUAACUGACGCUGAGGAGCGAAAGCAUGGGUAGCGAACAGGAUUAGAUACCCUGGUAGUCCAUGCCGUAAACGGUGGGCGCUAGGUGUAGGGGUCUUCCACGACUUCUGUGCCGUAGCUAACGCAUUAAGCGCCCCGCCUGGGGAGUACGGCCGCAAGGCUAAAACUCAAAGGAAUUGACGGGGGCCCGCACAAGCGGCGGAGCAUGUGGAUUAAUUCGAUGCAACGCGAAGAACCUUACCUGGGCUUGACAUAUACGGGAUCGCCGCAGAGAUGUGGUUUCCCUUGUGGCUCGUAUACAGGUGGUGCAUGGUUGUCGUCAGCUCGUGUCGUGAGAUGUUGGGUUAAGUCCCGCAACGAGCGCAACCCUUGUCUUAUGUUGCCAGCACGUUAUGGUGGGGACUCGUGAGAAACUGCCGGGGUCAACUCGGAGGAAGGUGGGGAUGACGUCAAAUCAUCAUGCCCCUUAUGUCCAGGGCUUCACACAUGCUACAAUGGUCGGUACAGUGGGUUGCGAUGCCGUGAGGCGGAGCUAAUCCCUUAAAGCCGGUCUCAGUUCGGAUCGGGGUCUGCAACUCGACCCCGUGAAGUCGGAGUCGCUAGUAAUCGCAGAUCAGCAACGCUGCGGAGAAUACGUUGCCGGGCCUUGUACACACCGCCCGUCAAGGAAG
rnacentral:rRNA from 1 species